rnacentral:rRNA from 1 species
UCGACGGCAGCGCGGGGAGCUUGCUCCCUGGCGGCGAGUGGCGCACGGGUGAGUAAUACAUCGGAACGUGUCUUCUAGUGGGGGAUAACUGCCCGAAAGGGCAGCUAAUACCGCAUGAGACCUGAGGGUGAAAGCGGGGGAUCGCAAGACCUCGCGCUGGAAGAGCGGCCGAUGUCCGAUUAGCUGGUUGGUGAGGUAAAGGCUCACCAAGGCGACGAUCGGUAGCUGGUCUGAGAGGACGACCAGCCACACUGGGACUGAGACACGGCCCAGACUCCUACGGGAGGCAGCAGUGGGGAAUUUUGGACAAUGGGGGCAACCCUGAUCCAGCCAUGCCGCGUGCAGGAUGAAGGUCUUCGGAUUGUAAACUGCUUUUGUCAGGGACGAAAAGGGAUGCGAUAACACCGCAUUCCGCUGACGGUACCUGAAGAAUAAGCACCGGCUAACUACGUGCCAG